CGGGUGAGUAACGCGUGGGUAACCUGCCUUAUACAGGGGGAUAACAGUCAGAAAUGACUGCUAAUACCGCAUAAGCGCACAGAGCUGCAUGGCUCGGUGUGAAAAACUCCGGUGGUAUAAGAUGGACCCGCGUUGGAUUAGCUAGUUGGUGAGGUAACGGCCCACCAAGGCGACGAUCCAUAGCCGGCCUGAGAGGGUGAACGGCCACAUUGGGACUGAGACACGGCCCAG
rnacentral:rRNA from 1 species